UUCACCGACGCCGACUCGACCCCAGAAUAACAAGUAACGCCCUGAAACUAAGGUCAGAUGCGUCUGUCAAGUUCUGGUGCGUCUGUCCAUUACGUCGUGAGGAAAGACAAGGUAUUCAGGAGGAAAAGAGUACAUCUGGAUAAGUAACGUUUUAUUUUUUUAAUGAGCUAUACGAAAUGAAUACAAGAAUAUGGCCACGGCCGAUUACCCGGCCUUCAGCCCAUGAGAAGAGAUGCCGAGACCCCGCAUUCCUAUGAACACAUCCCGGACUUUUUGUACACUUUAUACGGUCUGUAAGUGAGUGUCUGCCCGCCAGGGACACAUUUCCCAACAAUGGUGAGCAACCACAAGACUAGGACGUACAUAUUACUUAAGGAGGCUGCAUACCAGCAGAUGCAAACAUCCAAACACAGGUGAAAAUGCAGCAGUGCUCGAAAUGGACUGUUUAAAUUUAACCAGGCCCCAGGGAGAGGAGUUGAGCCAAACUAUAUGUCACUGGCACAGGUGAAAAAUGCAAGUUCUCGACACCACAGAGCAGCCCCCCCCUCCCCCAGCACCUGUCCAAACACCAAUUCCUUUUUCGGAGGUGAUAAACUGUAAGCUGCACGAAGCCAAGAAUCCCUGAAAGCAACACCCAGCACUGACCUGACACCUCAAAGUCACAGCGAUCAAACCCUGGAGAGGGAACAUAAAUCUAACCUCUGCUGCCCAAGCUAAUCGGGGGUGAGGAGACCGAGAGAGCGAGAGAAGCAAAGAAACGGAGCAAAGUGAGAGAUGGAGAGAGAAAGUAGGGAGAUGAAAAGCAGAAAUGAAGGCAAGGGAUACAGAAACAGAAGGAAGCACCGAGGAAGAACAAGAGGAAAAAGAUUUGAGUGAAAGAAAAGAGGCAAGAUAGCAAACAGAACGAGGAAUGCAUGUUAUUCAUUUUAUUAAAAAUAUAAUAGGUAUCCACUUGACAGAUGGAAGCAAUGUGAGGGGAAAAGAGAACAAGGCAGAGGGGGCGGACAGAGAAGCGAAUGGGUGUCCGAGGUAAGCCUGCGUCCUACAUAACUUUAAGUGCUCCGAGUCUAUUACAGAGUCUCUGAAGGAAGAACAUCGGAAGGGAAACAUACAAUCCUACAAGGUUUCUAACAAGGACGUCGACAGCCCUGCAGUCCGGAGCACUAGGGCGACAGUGGUAAAUGAGCGCUCACGCCGCGAGGAAGCCCUGCUCUAAGAGUACGACAGAGAAUGGGGCCAGGCAUCCCGAGCUGGCAUACUUACGGCAAACUGGGGGUGGGGCGAGAUGUCACCCAGGAGGGGGCGCUGCUGUGGGCAAGACAGACUCUGAGAGGAAAAAAACUGUUUGGCUUUUCCUGCUCGUUGAGAUCCCGUAAGCCCUGAUUAUCUCCGUUAACUGGUAUUUGUGACUGAUUUUAUUUAAAAAAAAAAAAAAAAUGUUUUCUGUUCAGUUUUUAAAAAUUGGAUAGAUCUGUGAAGUGGGCAGUUGAUUGAUCAAUAUGCAUACAGCAGAAUAUUUAAAAUCCUCUGGCAGAGUCAACUAAAAUGAAGAAAAAUCUGAUUUAUUAUUUAUGCGUGAAAUGAACCAUUUUCCUUGAAUAAAUUAUUUUUUUAUCAAAAGGCCAGAGCCGAAUUCGAUUUACCUACUACCAACUAGGAGCUAAGGAAAGCACCGGUUUGUGAAAAAACAGACGAUCCAUGCACUGCAAUUCAUGUAUCCACAAACCUAAACCUUGAUUUGUUCACGGUUAGUCUUAAAAACCAUGGAAAUGCUGUUUGAUCCUUCUUCUAAAACAUACACAAGUCACUGCUGUCAAAAAACUAAUUGUUCCCCUUUAUAUUAUUAAGCCACUAACCACGAAGCCAGUUUCUGUAAGAAUAGCACUCCUUUUUCCUACAUAAAUGUAACCACAAUUACUUGGAAAAAUAUGCCCAUGUUAAUGUCAGUGGGGGUUACUAACUCUGUGCUUUUAAUUGGAAAACCUCCCCUCGUCUGUUUACGCAGAGCGAGGCUGUCUUGUACAAACACACUUGGAAAAGCAUUUUCCUGAUUUGCUUAUUUGCCUCUGAAGUCCUUCUUCCUUGACGUCAGACAUGGAUCGUCAAUGUGUGUCCCCCCCCACCCCCCACACUGUUAAAAAACGACACGAUGCAGGUAUGGGCCGCGAUUGGAACCUUGUUCUAAACCAUUUGCCGGCACGCAGCUGAGAAUUGUGGGAAACACAGUGGUCAAACAAAGAGACGGGAACUGACACAGCAUUUGAAGAGGGUGAAAAUCCUUAUACUGCAAGUGUAUUAUUUAUCAUGUAAUUUCAAUAAGUCACCCCAUGCAGGACAGUUAAGGAAGUGGGCUGUUAGACUGGAAGCUGGGUCGUUUCUCUCCAUCAUUUUUACCCUGCCGACCUACCUUUGAAGAAUGUUCUUGAAUUUAAUUAAAAUAAAUGGGUUGGGCUGUUUAAAUAUGAAAAAAAAAACUGCAUUUCACUGUUGGGAAGUAGAUAAUUUAAUGGCAUGUAAACAUAAGGUCAAUAAAGUCUGGUGUUAAGUGUUAAAAAUGAGUCAUGUUUACAUGAAUGAAAGCCCUGCUUUUAAUCACUCCUGUGGAUUUUUAAGCUGCUUGCCAUCUUUCCGCAGCUGUUGUCCAGUUUAUCUACUGUUCAACCCGACCCCCGACCUCCUGUUCUGAUAGGGCCAGACAGAUCCUCUGAAUGCCAACACAAAACACAUUUCCUCCUGGUUUAGUGAAAGCAAGAGACCACAAAAUGGGCUCCAGACCA